AUGGAAGCCCCCGCCGCCGCUGCCGCCGCCGCCUCCACCCUCUCCGCGCUCGCCGUCUUCGUCAGCACCGUUGACCGCGGUGCCGUGAGGAGCGCGCACGGCUACCGGGUCGCCGGCAAGGGAGGGGGCUGCGGCUGGGAGAGGUGGGUGGAGCGGGAGUUCGCCUUCACCCCCACCUUGGCCCGCGAGGUCCCGCUCCCCGCCGACGCGCUGCGCCUGCUCCCGGCGGAUUGGCGCGGCCGCCCCGUCUACCGCGAGGGCCAGAUUGCCGGGCCCUGGCGCUGCAUCCUGGCAUUCGAUUUCGUCGCCGCCGUCGCCCCGCCGCCCGUGCCGCCGCCCGUGCUCUGCCCCUUCAGGAACCCGAGGCUCAUGUGUGUGCCUUCCCUGUACAACGACCUGACAAAGGUGUUCCAGUUUCAGAAAGUUGAAGAAAAGGUUCCAGGGCUCGUUCAGUGCGAUUCAGAUGAGAAAUUGACCACUUCGGAUGCAAAGGACAGAGUUUCUGUUAAGCAAGAGGCGGGGUCUGAUACCGAUGAGCCACCCCAAUUUGGUGAAGACCUUCUAGCACCAGCUGAGAAGCAGAGGCGAGCCCACCGGGAGUAUAUAGCUAGCAUUACUCUAGAGGACAUAACUCAGUACUUCCAUCUUCCAAUCAGAGAAGCAUCCAGGACUCUGAAGAUUGGACUCAGCAUUCUGAAGAAGAAAUGCCGGCAAUAUGGGAUACCUCGCUGGCCUCACCGCAAACUCAAGUCCCUUGAUUCGCUGAUUCAUGAUCUUGAGUUUGUGAUUGACGACGAAACAGAAAGAGACGGCGUGAAGCAGGAGGAUCACAUGCAGGAUGAGAAGGAGAAUCAAGAUGCAAUCGAGGCGCUUGCUAAGCGGAAGAGGAUGCUGGAGACUGAGAAGGCGACCAUCCAGCAAAAGCCGACCCUGGACCUGAUGGCCGAAACCAAGCAGUUCAGGCAGUAUGUUUUCAAGAGGAAAUACAGGGCAAAAACCCUAGUGAGCGAGUAG
rnacentral:rRNA from 1 species